rnacentral:rRNA from 1 species
GACGAACGCUGGCGGCGUGCUUAACACAUGCAAGUCGAACGAUGACGACCGAGCUUGCUCGGUCUGAUUAGUGGCGAACGGGUGAGUAACACGUGAGCAACCUGCCCUUCACUCUGGGAUAACCUCGGGAAAUCGGGGCUGAUACCGGAUAUGAGCUCCUGUCGCAUGGCGGGUGUUGGAAAGUUUUUCGGUGAAGGAUGGGCUCGCGGCCUAUCAGUUUGUUGGUGAGGUAGUGGCUCACCAAGGCGAUGACGGGUAGCCGGCCUGAGAGGGCGACCGGCCACACUGGGACUGAGACACGGCCCAGACUCCUACGGGAGGCAGCAGUGGGGAAUAUUGCACAAUGGGCGAAAGCCUGAUGCAGCGACGCCGCGUGAGGGAUGACGGCCUUCGGGUUGUAAACCUCUUUCAGCAGGGAAGAAGCGAAAGUGACGGUACCUGCAGAAGAAGCGCCGGCUAACUACGUG